CGGGGGUCGAACCUCGGUGCCGCAGCUAACGCAUUAAGCAUUCCACCUGGGGAGUACGAUCGCAAGAUUGAAACUCAAAGGAAUUGACGGGGGCCCGCACAAGCGGUGGAGCAUGUGGUUUAAUUCGAAGCAACGCGAAGAACCUUACCAGGUCUUGACAUCCCAUUGACCGGUUCGUAAUGGAACCUUAUCUUCGGAACAAUGGUGACAGGUGGUGCAUGGUUGUCGUCAGCUCGUGUCGUGAGAUGUUGGGUUAAGUCCCGCAACGAGCGCAACCCUUAUCUUUAGUAGCCAGCAUGUAAUGAUGGGGACUCUAGAGAGACUGCCGGGGAUAACUCGGAGGAAGGUGGGGAUGACGUCAAAUCAUCAUGCCCCUUAUGACCUGGGCUACACACGUGCUACAAUGGUGGUAACAAAGGGAAGCGAAGCCGCGAGGUGGAGCAAACCCCAUAAAAGCCAUCCCAGUUCGGAUUGUAGUCUGCAACUCGACUACAUGAAGUUGGAAUCGCUAGUAAUCGCGAAUCAGAAUGUCGCGGUGAAUACGUUCCCGGGCCUUGUGCACACCGCCCGUCACACCACGGGAGUCGGAAGCACCCAACGUCAGUGACCCAACUCUUCGGAGAGGGAGCUGCCUAAGGUGAAAUCGAUGACUGGGGUGAAGUCGUAACAAGGUAGCCG
rnacentral:rRNA from 1 species